UGGGGAAUAUUGCACAAUGGGCGCAAGCCUGAUGCAGCCAUGCCGCAUGUAUGAAGAAGGCCUUCGGGUUGUAAAGUACUUUCAGUCGGGAGGAAGGUGGUAAGGUUAAUAACCUUAUCAAUUGACGUUACCGACAGAAGAAGCACCGGCUAACUCCGUGCCAGCAGCCGCGGUAAUACGGAGGGUGCAAGCGUUAAUCGGAAUUACUGGGCGUAAAGCGCACGCAGGCGGUUGAUUGAGUCAGAUGUGAAAUCCCCGGGCUUAACCCGGGAAUUGCAUCUGAUACUGGUCAGCUAGAGUCUUGUAGAGGGGGGUAGAAUUCCAUGUGUAGCGGUGAAAUGCGUAGAGAUGUGGAGGAAUACCGGUGGCGAAGGCGGCCCCCUGGACAAAGACUGACGCUCAGGUGCGAAAGCGUGGGGAGCAAACAGG
rnacentral:rRNA from 1 species